rnacentral:rRNA from 1 species
AUGCAAGAGGAGAUUAGAAAGAUUAGUUCUAUUGCCCAAGCUUCACACACAUCGUUUCAGUCUUUUCUACAGAAAGAUGAGACCAUUUCUGUUGCCUCUACCAUGGAUUUAGUUCGUGCUUGUGGUGCAACAGACGACACUGAUGAGCAUUUCAUUGCUAAUGAGCUCUUUCUGAAGAGAGAGCAAAGAGAGAUGUUCUUGCACAUGACAUCCGACUCUCGAAAGGGUUGGUUGCGUAGGAGGAUGCCAAACUACUCGUUCCAAACACAGAUGAAGAUUGUUGCAGCUACUAUGACAUUGCACAACUAUGUUCGCCUCCAUGACAAAGACGAUCUCCACUUUAUUCGAUGUGAAAGAGAUCCGGAUUAUGUGCCAACAAUUCCGGAUAGAUAUAAGAAGUAUGUUAUUCCUCCGAGUGCAUCGGAUGCUUCAACUUCAGAGGCAAGUGCUCCUGACAUGGAUAGGUUUAGGAAUGAACUAGCCAUGGCCGUUGCUCUUGGUUGGUGA